rnacentral:tRNA from 1 species
GCUAGCGUAGCUUAACUAAAGCAUGACACUGAAGAUGUCAAGAUGGACCCUAGAAAGUUCCGCAGGCA